rnacentral:lncRNA from 1 species
AGGAAGGUUCUGAGAUACAGAAUGCCAAUGCGUUACAGCCCCUAUGGCUGAAAUACUAUUUUGUUUGAGGCAGCAUUGCCAGCAGAGAGAUACAUCUAACAAAAUUUGUACUCUCUUUUCUUCUCACAUGUUUUAAUCAUUGGGAAAGAUGAACAGAAGAUUUUUCCCUGCUUGGGUUGACGCGUUGAAAUGUGAGAAUUGGAGCUUUAUGUUGUUCAUGGUAGACAAUGAAAUCAAAAUGCCUGCUUCUUCUGUACUGCCUAAAAAUAUUCAUGCUUGAGCUAUCUUGAAAGCUUCCUCUGGUUGCAAUAUUAUAGUUUUUGUCAGGUACAUUGCUGCCUCUGUGUCUUUGCUUAAAUUAAGCCUGCUUUCUUUCUGUGGAACUUUUCUGUUUGAGAUGUCAUCUGAUGCUGCAAUUGUUAUCUUGACUGCUUUUCAGACCAUCAAUUGUUUUUACCCUAAAUAGAGUACCAUCCGCCUAAAAGCUUAGUGCUUGUUUUUGUGGUUGAACAUGUUUUUCAGAGUGCUUUUCUCUUGAAAAGUAUUAAAUUGAUUUUUUUAGAUGCUUUUCAUUCAGUCUUGAUGUCAAAAAUUUAAAAAAAAAAUCUAAAAAAAAAUUAUUUUGAUGUAUUUUCAAUUAAAAAGCACUCUACAUUGCUUUACCAAUGAACUAUGUUAGUGGGACAUGAGUAUGAUUUUAUGGGGUAUUUUUCAAGGCCUGUGAUCUUGCAGGUGCAAGGAGCUUACUACUACUAAGCCAUGCCUAUUGAUUUCCAACUCUAGAUUCAGUUUGUGAGCUUUUUGUCGUUUAAAUUGUGUUGGCUUGAUGUAUUUGUAUAUGAGAUAGCAUUACUCAAUGACUCGAGCAUUGGCAACGCAAACGAAUUCUUCCUGAGUUACCAACAAUCUAGAAUCUUAUCCGAAUGUAAAAUCCAAAUGGGUCUUGUGUUUAUUAAGAUGAUUAUAAAACUGAAAAUUAAGUUGCUGCCAUUACAUAUGAUGCAUAAAUGUUAGAUUUGUCAAUGGAUGAUAGAUACAACUUUGACCCACUUUGCCUAGUUACAAGACUCGGUCAGGUGGGCAAUGGAUGACAGGUGCCAUUCAUGACUUGCUUACUGAGUUGAUAAAACCUUGGCUGCUUCUGAACUUGCAGCUGAUAAUCCAAUCAUGACCGCAAAACGAGUGCUUGCUCUUACCUGUGGGCAUUAGCUUGCCAAAAAAAUUGUGGGUUUCAGCUUUUUACUUUCCUCUUGAGCUGGUUUACUUGCUUAGUGAGCUAUGAGACUUUGUACUGUAGGCCUCUGUCAGAUUGCUGGUAGAUGUGAAUUAAGCUUGCCCAUGUAUAGUUAUGGCUGAUGAUUAUUAGACCAUCCUCCCCACCCGCUCAUCAUGGCACAAGGCACAGAGUGCUUCGUGAUUUCCACAGCUUGCGUCACUAUGACCAGAAGUUCAGACAAAGAAGGCAAGCAUCAUGGCAAUGUGUGACCCAGACUGUUUUUUUUUUUUUUUUU